rnacentral:lncRNA from 1 species
AAGGAGCCUAAGCAAACCCUAAUGACUGAUCUUCCUUGUGGUUGUAAAGUAAACAGUUUACAGGUACUUUGAGAGGAGUGGACAACGAAGGAAAAUCAAAAGAACCCAAAAUCUAAACAAAUAUCUGAAGAACGAAAGGAGAUCACUGAGGGAAAACUAUCACCUCAGAUGUUUACAGUGAACUCAUAAACUAUGUAGCAGUGACCUAGCCUAGUACUAAAUUGCAUAAGAAAGGAACAAAAACCAAGAAGUCUACAGAAGGAAAUGACCAUGCUGGAGAUGGAAGAAGAGAAUCUAUUCAAUGUUCAAGCAAUAAGGAUAGUUUUAACUGCAAGACUUCUUCUAUAACCAACAGAUUUAUUCCUUGUUCCUUUGAGAAUAAAAAUCUCCGUGUACCAGUGAAAGUCACACCAAUAUAAUUUGCAGAGCUUGGUCCUUGAUGGACACAUUAACCUUAGUAGUUAGGAG